AACGAACGCUGGCGGCAGGCUUAACACAUGCAAGUCGAGCGCCCCGCAAGGGGAGCGGCAGACGGGUGAGUAACGCGUGGGAAUCUACCCAUCUCUACGGAAUAACGCAUGGAAACGUGUGCUAAUACCGUAUACGUCCUUCGGGAGAAAGAUUUAUCGGAGAUGGAUGAGCCCGCGUUGGAUUAGCUAGUUGGUGGGGUAAAGGCCUACCAAGGCGACGAUCCAUAGCUGGUCUGAGAGGAUGAACAGCCACACUGGGACUGAGACACGGCCCAGAAUGCUACGGGAGGCAGCAGUGGGGAAUAUUGGACAAUGGGCGCAAGCCUGAUCCAGCCAUGCCGCGUGAGUGAUGAAGGCCCUAGGGUUGUAAAGCUCUUUCACCGGUGAAGAUAAUGACGGUAACCGGAGAAGAAGCCCCGGCUAACUUCGUGCCAGCCGCCGCCGUAAGAC
rnacentral:rRNA from 1 species